GUCUCCGUGGUCCAGUGGUUGAGCUUUGGCCUUACGAUCCGGAGGUCCCGGGUUCGAAUCCCGGUGGGGACA
rnacentral:tRNA from 1 species